UACGGGGGGGGCAAGCGUUGUUCGGAAUUACUGGGCGUAAAGGGCUCGUAGGCGGCCAACUAAGUCAGACGUGAAAUCCCUCGGCUUAACCGGGGAACUGCGUCUGAUACUGGAUGGCUAGAGGUUGGGAGAGGGAUGCGGAAUUCCAGGUGUAGCGGUGAAAUGCGUAGAUAUCAGGAGGAACACCGAUGGCGAAGGCAGGUCUCUGGGCCAUAACUGACGCUGAGAAGCGAAAGCAUGGGGAGCGAACAGG
rnacentral:rRNA from 1 species